UACGUAGGGUGCGAGCGUUGUCCGGAAUUAUUGGGCGUAAAGGGCGUGUAGGCGGUUUGUUAAGUCUGGCGUGAAAGCUCUCGGCUAAACCGGGAGAGGUCGUUGGAUACUGGCAAACUAGAGGAUGGUAGAGGCGUGUGGAAUUCCGGGUGUAGUGGUGAAAUGCGUAGAGAUCCGGAGGAACACCAGUGGCGAAGGCGACACGCUGGGCCAUACCUAACGCUAAAGCGCGACAGCAUGGGGAGCAAACGGG
rnacentral:rRNA from 1 species